rnacentral:rRNA from 1 species
UACGUAGGUGGCAAGCGUUGUCCGGAUUUAUUGGGUUUAAAGGGUGCGUAGGCGGCUUAUUAAGUCAGUGGUGAAAUACUCUAGCUCAACUAGAGGGGUGCCAUUGAUACUGAUGAGCUUGAGUACAGAUGAGGUAGGCGGAAUUGACGGUGUAGCGGUGAAAUGCUUAGAUAUCGUCAAGAACACCUAUAGCGAAGGCAGCUUACUAGGCUGUAACUGACGCUGAGGCACGAAAGUGUGGGGAGCAAACAGG